UGGGGAAUUUUGUGCAAUGGGGGAAACCCUGACACAGCGACACCGCGUGAGCGAGGAAGCCCUUUGGGGUGUAAAGCUCUGUCGGCAGGAACGAAACAAUGACGGUACCUGCAGAGGAAGCAUCGGCUAACUACGUGCCAGCAGCCGCGGUAAGACGUAGGAUGCAAGCGUUGUCCGGAUUUAUUGGGCGUAAAGAGUUCGUAGGCGGUUCGUUAAGUCUGGUGUUAAAGAUCGGGGCUCAACCCUGGGAGUGCACUGGAUACUGGCGGACUUGAGUAUGGUAGAGGCGAGUGGAAUUCCCAGUGUAGCGGUGAAAUGCGUAGAUAUUGGGAAGAACACCGGUGGCGCAAGCGACUCGCUGGGCCAUUACUGACGCUGAGGAACGAAAGCUAGGGGAGCGAAUGGG
rnacentral:rRNA from 1 species